rnacentral:lncRNA from 1 species
UCAUGAAUGAAUUAAUCCACUCAUGAAUUAAUGGAUUAAUGGGUUAUCAUAGGUGUGAAACUGAUGGCUUUAUAAAAAGAAGAGAGACCCGAGCUGAUAUGUUUUCACCCCCAUAUCUUGUGAAGCCCUGAGCUGUCUCCUAACUCUACAGAGAGCUCCCACCAGCAAGAAGGACCUCAUUGAAUGCAGCCUCUCAACCCUGGACUUCUCAGCCUCCAUAACUGCAACCAGCACUUAUUCCACCAUUUUCUGAGGAAAAACAUAGGACUAUGACACAAAGUCUCACCCUUGUCUCACGUGGAGGGGAGUAAGCCAGUGCUAUUCCCUAUCUGAGCUUGGAAUGUGCAAGACAUCAAAGGGAUUGAUGGGUCUGGUUCUGUCACCCAGGCUGGAGUGCAAUGGCACACUCUCAGCUCACCACAACCUUCGCCCCCCAGGUUUAAGUGAUUCUCCUGCCUCAACCUCCCAAGUAGCUGGGACUACAGGUGUGUACCACCAUGGCUGGCUAAUUUUUGUAUUUUUAAGUAGAGUCAGGGUUCCGCCAUGUUGGUCAGGCUGGUCUUGAAUCCCUGACCUCAUGAUCCACCCACCUCAGCCUCCCAAAGGGCUGGGAUUACAGGCGCGAGCCACCGUGCCUGGCUAAGUCUAUGUUCUUAUUCAGAGACUUAG